AUUGAACGCUGGCGGCAGGCCUAACACAUGCAAGUCGAACGGUAACAGGAAGAAGCUUGCUUCUUUGCUGACGAGUGGCGGACGGGUGAGUAAUGUCUGGGAAACUGCCUGAUGGAGGGGGAUAACUACUGGAAACGGUAGCUAAUACCGCAUAACAUCGCAAAACCAAAGAGGGGGACCUUCGGGCCUCUUGCCAUCGGAUGUGCCCAGAUGGGAUUAGCUAGUAGGUGGGGUAACGGCUCACCUAGGCGACGAUCCCUAGCUGGUCUGAGAGGAUGACCAGCCACACUGGAACUGAGACACGGUCCAGACUCCUACGGGAGGCAGCAGUGGGGAAUAUUGCACAAUGGGCGCAAGCCUGAUGCAGCCAUGCCGCGUGUAUGAAGAAGGCCUUCGGGUUGUAAAGUACUUUCAGCGGGGAGGAAGGGAGUAAAGUUAAUACCUUUGCUCAUUGACGUUACCCGCAGAAGAAGCACCGGCUAACUCCGUG
rnacentral:rRNA from 1 species